AACCCUGUUGUCAGUGAUGCAUUGGUUAAUACUGAAUUCUAAUGAUUUCAUUCAACAUUUCGUCACUACCACUGAGACAACAGAUAA
ensembl:snoRNA